rnacentral:lncRNA from 10 species
GAGAUUUAUUCCAAGAAUUGGCUCACAGGAUUGUGGAGGCCAAGAAGUCCCACAGUCUCCCGCUCUGCUGUCUAUACACUGGAGAACCAGGAAAACAGGUGGUAUAAUUCAGGAAAGUCCAAAGCAGGGGAGGAGGCUCACUGCUAAGUCCCAGAGCCUGAAGGACGAAGAACCAGGAACUCCAAUGAUGUCCAAAGGCAGGACUUGUCUGAUCUCCUAUCAACAAAAACUUAAUGGGUGCAGUAGGAGCUUCAGGGAGCUGUGAGCA